rnacentral:rRNA from 1 species
AUAUUGGACAAUGGGCGCAAGCCUGAUCCAGCCAUGCCGCGUGAGUGAUGAAGGCCCUAGGGUUGUAAAGCUCUUUCACCGGUGAAGAUAAUGACGGUAACCGGAGAAGAAGCCCCGGCUAACUUCGUGCCGGCAGCCGCGGUAAUACGAAGGGGGCUAGCGUUGUUCGGAUUUACUGGGCGUAAAGCGCACGUAGGCGGACUUUUAAGUCAGGGGUGAAAUCCCGGGGCUCAACCCCGGAACUGCCUUUGAUACUGGAAGUCUUGAGUAUGGAAGAGGUAAGUGGAAUUGCGAGUGUAGAGGUGUAAUUCGUAGAUAUUCGCAGGAACACCAGUGGCGAAGGCGGCUUACUGGUCCAUUCCUGACGCUGAGGUGCGAAAGCGUGGGGAGCAAACAG